rnacentral:lncRNA from 1 species
GGUAUCUGCUUCCUGUUCCAUCGGUGGCUGUGUUGGCCCACCACACAGACUUUGCCUGGCUUACUAUGCGGAGACUGGAAACAAGAAGAAGGGCUCAAGGAACCCUGCACAGGGGACAGUGCAAAGAGUGUAGGAGCCAGAGGGGACAGAGGACACCAAGGAAGCAACACGGCAAGACCCCGAAUGUAUGAACUCACAGAAACCGUGACAAAAGGCACAGGGCCAGCAUAGUCUGCACCAAGCAGUCCUGGAGCCGAAGGG